ACAACGGAGAGUUUGAUCCUGGCUCAGGAUGAACGCUGGCGGCGUGCUUAACACAUGCAAGUCGAACGAACCUUCGGGUUAGUGGCGGACGGGUGAGUAACGCGUGAGAAUCUGCCCUCAGGAGGGGGAUAACGGUUGGAAACGACCGCUAAUACCCCAUAUGCCUACUGGUGAAACGAAUUUCGCCUGAGGAUGAGCUCGCGUCUGAUUAGCUAGUUGGUGAGGUAAUGGCUCACCAAGGCUUCGAUCAGUAGCUGGUCUGAGAGGAUGAUCAGCCACACUGGGACUGAGACACGGCCCAGACUCCUACGGGAGGCAGCAGUGGGGAAUUUUCCGCAAUGGGCGCAAGCCUGACGGAGCAACGCCGCGUGAGGGACGAAGGCCUCUGGGCUGUAAACCUCUUUUCUCAAGGAAGAAGAUAUGACGGUACUUGAGGAAUAAGCCACGGCUAAUUCCGUGCCAGCAGCCGCGGUAAUACGGGAGUGGCAAGCGUUAUCCGGAAUUAUUGGGCGUAAAGCGUCCGCAGGCGGCUUUUCAAGUCUGCUGUUAAAGAGUGGAGCUUAACUCCAUCAUGGCAGUGGAAACUGAAAGGCUUGAGUAUGGUAGGGGCAGAGGGAAUUCCCGGUGUAGCGGUGAAAUGCGUAGAUAUCGGGAAGAACACCAGUGGCGAAGGCGCUCUGCUGGGCCAUUACUGACGCUCAUGGACGAAAGCCAGGGGAGCGAAAGGGAUUAGAUACCCCUGUAGUCCUGGCCGUAAACGAUGAACACUAGGUGUCGGGGGAAUCGACCCCUUCGGUGUCGUAGCUAACGCGUUAAGUGUUCCGCCUGGGGAGUACGCACGCAAGUGUGAAACUCAAAGGAAUUGACGGGGGCCCGCACAAGCGGUGGAGUAUGUGGUUUAAUUCGAUGCAACGCGAAGAACCUUACCAGGGUUUGACAUCCUGCGAACCUCUUAGAAAUUUGAGGGUGCCUUCGGGAAUGCAGUGACAGGUGGUGCAUGGCUGUCGUCAGCUCGUGUCGUGAGAUGUUGGGUUAAGUCCCGCAACGAGCGCAACCCACGUUUUUAGUUGCCAGCAUUUAGUUGGGCACUCUAGAAAGACCGCCGGUGAUAAACCGGAGGAAGGUGUGGAUGACGUCAAGUCAUCAUGCCCCUUACACCCUGGGCUACACACGUACUACAAUGCUACGGACAAAGGGCAGCAAACUCGCGAGAGCUAGCAAAUCCCAUAAACCGUGGCUCAGUUCAGAUCGUAGGCUGCAACUCGCCUACGUGAAGUAGGAAUCGCUAGUAAUCGCAGGUCAGCAUACUGCGGUGAAUACGUUCCCGGGCCUUGUACACACCGCCCGUCACACCAUGGAAGUUGGCCAUGCCCGAAGUCGUUACUCCAACCCUUGUGGAGGAGGACGCCGAAGGUGGGGCUAAUGACUGGGGUGAAGUCGUAACAAGGUAGCCGUACCGGAAGGUGCGGCUGGAUCACCUCCUAA
rnacentral:rRNA from 1 species